UACCCUACUAAAGAAGCCAUUUUUCGAAACAGCAGGAUAUGAUCACAUAUUUAAUAAGAAACCAUGUUAACCCUUAACUUCCUGAGUCAACUGGACUCACAUUGAAAUUUUAAACUACUAUAAUUUUAAAGUUUUAGCGACUAGUUUCCCCCCCGUCCCAGUACCUUCCUCCAGUGACGCCGGUAUCGCGGUGGCAAGAGGACGUGUGCCUGCUGCUCGUAUUUGGUUGUCUGGAACCAAGUUUACUGCAGUCUAUGGCGCAGAACACAAGACUCCGUUUUGAACAGUGUUCAACUCGAUGGAAGACAUCUGGAUGACAUACUGUUUAAAAAAAAAAAUGCGCAUUUCUAUUCUCUUGUUCAAUGCUCUUAAUAAAACUUUGUAUCAAUUAUUACGUUUUUUAUUUAAGUUUGAAAAUAUAAAUUUGCCACCAAACACCUGUAUGUAUGUAUAUAUAUACAUCCUGCUAAUAAUUAGGCGUCCCACAUGGGCCGAAAUGCAUCUAAACUGGCGUCCACCUCCUUUAGACGUCCGCAUACCGGACGCCACUUUUUUAAUCGAUGUCCCUAUUGUCCUUUUGGCUCUAGCUACCUGUAUAACAAAAAUCGCCGGAAGGCAAAAAAUCAUUGAGAUAUUUGCAUUUGUAUAACUAAAACUUCCGCGAAAUCCCGCACCAACGGUGCGGCGCCAGUCUAGCGCGUAUAUCGACAGAGCGUAUACUCUGCUAAAACUCUUCCUAUACAACCGAUUAUUUGGCGUCCUAUUGCGACGUUGCCAAACGGACUGUAUUUGAAGGUUUUGAAAUAUUCAAUCAAGUAAAAACAAAUCAUUUAAAAACAGUUUGCCGAAAUUGCUACGCACGUGUCGCUGCUUAUUUGACGCUCGGUUGAAUAGUACAAUAAAAUAAAAAAAUAAAAUAAAAGUUAAAAUGAAAAAAUGAGUCUUCAACGACUUCGUAGUGCAAGGAUUUUAAAAUUAACUCAAUUCAAAGGACUACGUUCGUCUUCAGGACAUCAACAAAACAUUAAUGACAAAGAA